CAUCGGUGGACAGGUGGUGCAUGGUUGUCGUCAGCUCGUGUCGUGAGAUGUUGGUUAAGUCCGCAACGAGCGCAACCCCUAUUGUUAGUUGCCAUCAUUCAGUUGGGCACUCUAGCGAGACUGCCGGUAAUAAACCGGAGGAAGGUGGGGAUGACGUCAAAUCAUCAUGCCCUUAUGACCUGGGCUACACACGUGCUACAAUGGUUGGUACAACGAGUUGCGAGUCGGUGACGGCGAGCUAAUCUCUUAAAGCCAAUCUCAGUUCGGAUUGUAGGCUGCAACUCGCCUACAUGAAGUCGGAAUCGCUAGUAAUCGCGGAUCAGCACGCCGCGGUGAAUACGUUCCCGGGCCUU
rnacentral:rRNA from 1 species